CUCCACUCUCCUGAGCGACACUAGGAGACUUUCCUCUUUGGAAGGCUGGACUCCAAAGGGAGUUGAAGCCUGCCCCCUGCUCACACCCUCCCCAGGACCACAGCAGUGCGCACUGGCAUCCUGCACUCUCAGAAGAAAUGUCCCUGUCUCCCACAAGGAAACAGAGAAAUGAGAGAAGGGAAUGGGUGGGUAGUGAAGCAGCUGGUUCCACAGAAUGAAAGCCAGCAGGACUGGGUAUCGAUUUUGGCUUUGUGAGAGCAAGGCGUUGGAAGCAAGAAGCCAUGCUGUAAGUGCAGCCCCUCCUCCUGAAAGAGGACAGAGAGCAGCCUGGAGCACAAGGGACUAAUUUGUGUGAAGGAUCCUUGAGAGAUUCUACAAAAUGCAGACGUGGAAGCAUCGUCUCAAGAUUAUGUGCCUGGAAUCUCCUGUUCUUGGAUCAUCUUAGAGUGAAAAAGUGGCUCCUAUCUAAUGCAGAAACCUGACCUUGUGCAUGUGCCUGCUUGUGAAAGCUUGUGAAAAGCUUCUUAACCUUGUGUGUGAUUUUUGCAUUACAGGCUCAAGUCCUUUGCCCUGUGUGGGCCCCUUACUUUGUGGAAGUCCCUUGCCACACACUGACUCCUGCCUUGUGCCUCAGUUUGGGGAAAAGUUUCACAGCCCAUGAUGUCACUAUCCACUGAGCACAAUAGCAAACAAUAAACCCUUUUUUUUUUUUAGCUCCUGUAUGGUUUGGAUCUGGAAUGUCUCCCAAAGGCUCAUGUGUUAAAGGCUUGUUCCCCAGUGAAGCAAUGUUCACAGAUGGGAAUUUGGGGAAGUGGUUGGAUCGUGAGCACUCUGACCUCAUCAGUGGAUUCAUCCAUUGAUAAAUUAUAGCUGAAUGAAUGACUGAAAGGUGGUGGAAACUGUAGGAUGUGGGGCAAAACAGGAGGCAUUAGGUCACUGGGAUGUGUUCUGUGCACUAUUUUACCCCCUUUCUCUCUCUUUCUGCUUCCUGGAUGCCAUGAGAUGAGCAGCUUUGUUCCACAACACCUUCCACCAUGAUGUUUCUGCCUUGGACCCUUCUGACCAUGCACUGAAACUUCUGAGACUGUGAACCCAAAUAAAUCUUUCCUCCUCUAA